rnacentral:rRNA from 1 species
AGAGUUUGAUCCUGGCUCAGAACGAACGCUGGCGGCGUGCCUAACACAUGCAAGUCGAGCGAGAAAGUCCGCAAGGAUGAGUAAAGCGGCGCACGGGUGCGUAACACGUGGGUAAUCUACCUUGGAGCUCGGAAUAACUCCCCGAAAGGGGUGCUAAUGCCGGAUAAGACCACGGGAUCCCUGGAUCCUGAGGGAAAAGGCGGCCUCUGUAUACAAGCUGUCACUCCAAGAUGAGCCCGCGGCCCAUCAGCUAGUUGGCGGGGUAAUGGCCCACCAAGGCUACGACGGGUAGCUGGUCUGAGAGGACGAUCAGCCACACUGGAACUGAGACACGGUCCAGACUCCUACGGGAGGCAGCAGUGGGGAAUCUUGCGCAAUGGGCGAAAGCCUGACGCAGCAACGCCGCGUGUGUGAUGAAGGUCUUCGGAUCGUAAAGCACUGUCGGGAGGGAAGAAUAAGGCGGCGGCUAACAUCCGCAGCCGAUGACGGUACCUCCAAAGGAAGCACCGGCUAACUCUGUGCCAGCCGCCGCGGUAAUAC